UAGACAAUAUAUAUGUAGACAUUUAUAUUUAUUUAUACGGAAAGUUGCUGUUACUUUUUCUUUUAAAUAAUAUUUUCUGUAUAUGUAAAAUAUAUUUAAAUAUAAAUGAUAUAUAAGUGGGCCUUCCAGAUUUAGAGAUUUUCCCUGUUCAGGUCUUUUAAGGGUUCUUAGCAACAUCUAGGAAGUCGUGAGUAGCUAAACCUAAAUGCACAGAGGUCAUGCCGGCGUCUUACCUUCCCAGGCUGCAGGGAAAAUCUCAUGACCCAACUUGGAAUAAGACAAAGAGAAGCCAGCAACAGUUCACUUCCUGACAAAAGAAGUUGAGCAUUAGAUCUGUGCAAAAGUCACAGCUGCCAGUAUUCCUGUGUAGAAACUAAGGCUUAAGAUGACGAAACGUUUUCGGGCUCUGCUCCAAAGGAGAGAGUGGAUGUAGAGACAGUUACCCAAGAGGUAAUCAAAAUUCAGAUGCCAACACGUAAUUGUACAAAGCCGGCUCUAAAGAGCGGUUUCUGCUCUCGGUAACGCAAGUCAGGGAGACAACUGGAAAAGUAACAGAGCAAAGGGGGCUGGUGUGGGCUCGCCGUCCCUCUGUUGCACCUUGCCUGGGAGAGGUGUCAUCAGGCAAAGUCAGAGGGUCACGAGAUUUAUGCUCUGAAGUUUUGUUCUGAACGCUGAGGUGGAGGGAAAUGCAGUCAUUGUUUCUGCUGAGAACACCUACGAGGGAGUCUAUAAUCGGAAGUAAGGUUACUAAAAUAAGAAGCAUUAACAAAAACGCAUAAAUGCGGCAGCUGCUGGGCGCAUUUGCAUGAGUCCUGUUAUAAGCACCAGGGCUCUUACUUCUGCUCCACAAAGGUGUUUUAAAGAUCAGCGUAGGGGCUGGGGAUUUAGCUCAGUGGUAGAGUGCUUACCUAGGAAGCGCAAGGCCCUGGGUUCGGUCCCCAGCUCCGGAAAAAAAGAACCCCCCCCCAAAAAAUAUCAGCGUAAUUCCAGAUGUUAAUAAAGCUUAUGACAUACUGUCAGAGGUAAAAGCAGAAAAGGACUUAGCUGUAUUUAAUAUCAGAGGUUCUUUGGCUGUUUCCCUUGAAACACAACCUUCUACUAAAUUUAGAGAUGCAAAGGCUGAAUUUUAUCCACAAGGCAUGCCAAGAACUGACCUUAAAAAGAACAAAAUAAAAUCAAACAAACAAACAAAAAACCCAAAACUUAACAUUUUCCAUGGUUAAUAAAGCAAUCCACAAAAUUCUGAAAUUUCCCUUUAAAAAGAAUUUGGUAAAACUAGAGUGGUGUGGUGAUUUGAGUAAGAACGGCCCCUUAUAAGCUCAUCUGUUUGAAUGCUUAGUCAUUAGGAGUGGCACUACGUGGGAAGGAUGAUUAGGUGUGGCCUUGUUGGGAGGUAGUGUGUCACUGGGGGUGGACUUUGAAGUUUCAAAAGCCCAAUGCAGGCCCAGUCUCUCUCUCUCUCUCUCUCUCUCUCUCUGCCUCUCUGCCUCUCUCUGUCUCUCUGUCUCUCUCUCUCUGUCUGUGUCUGUCUCUGUCUCUCUCUCCCUCUCCCUCCCUCCCUCCCUGUUGUCUGCUGAUCUGGAUGUAGAACUCUCUCAGCUACUUCUCUAGCACCAUGCCUGCCUGUGUGCUGCAAGCUUCCUACCAUGCUGCUGACAAACUAAACCUCUGAGACUAGAAGCAAGCUUCAGUUAAAUGCCUUCUUUUCUAAGAGUUCCCAUGGUCUCAGUGUCUCUUCACAGCAAUAGAACACUGACUAGGUCAGGUGGGGUCCAGGAAUGCUGGGACAAAACAACAAUCUACAGUUAAACAAGAUGACGUGCAGACUACAACAAUACUGUAGAUGUAGGUCUCCUCAUCUUACUUUUGUCUAACCAGUCUUCCACAGAUUACAUGUGUGUUCUUCUAAACCCCCUUUCCUGAACAGAGCUCAGUCCGUACAGUCACCCAGCAAAUGGUUUCUACCUGCCCAAGAACACCAUUGCUAUUGCUGCGGAUGGGAAAUGGUGCUCAAAGUCAGAAAAGCAGGAAGCCACACUGGUUGGGUCUUAUGAUCACAUGAACAACUCUUGCCAGAGUCCUGGUGAAACCAGGGUUCAUUAAGUGCCUGUGGGUAAUGGCUCCACCAGAUAAUGCUUUGCCAAGUUAAGCUCCAAUCACGAAGCUGAACUUGUUGUGUACUUGUUGGCUCUGAGGUGAUCUUUGGACAAGUCACAAGGCUGAGAGGAAAGCAGGGCAGCCCACAGGGCCUCACCCAGCUAGUGGUGCAGGUACAGACAAGGACAAACCUGUCCUCCACUCUUGCUGCUAUGACUCUGUAAGUUCUAGUCAGAAGUGCUACUUGGCUGCCUUUGUGUCUACAUGGCCAAGUUGACCAAGACUCCGAAGGAUACAAGGCUCCUGUGUGGAUCGCUUUCUCAGAGACAUUCUUGGACAUCAUCCACAAAACAGGUUCCCAGACACAAGGCAAACACAUCUUUCUGGUUCUCCAACUCCACAGAGACCCGUUCUUCACCUUUGAGCUACUUCAACCACUCUGUAAACCACAAACCUUAGAAGAAUACAGAUGCACUCUGCUCGGUAUGAGACAACGCAUUGCUGUGUGGGCCCACAUCAAUUUCAUGUCUAUUCUCAUGUGUGCGCAUUACUGAAUUCUCCUCUGAGUCAGCAGCAGCGUCUUUUGGUCUCCUUGUUUCUAGCCAUCCCACCAAGGAUUUCAGGAAACAGCUUUCAAGCGUUCGGGAACAGACUGCAUGAGAACUUAGGAAGACAAAAGUCACAAUAAAACAACUUCCCCUGGAACUAAAAGAAUCACGCUUCUGAAGUUCACCUACCAUCCUAGCUUUGAUGAGCAAGAAAAUUAAAAAUGCAAAUUCUUACAAUAUUCUGUGGGUUAGUUUCCUGCUAUAAAUACACAUUGCACCCCAGCAGUAU